UGUGUGUGUGUGUGUGUGUGUGUGUGUGAUAAAUUUGUUUUAGAACCAAUAAAAUCCUAAGAGAUUUUUUACUAAAUUUUUUCUGGCAGGGUAUGAUUAUAUUUGUGUAGUUAAAAUAUAUUUCAAAUGGAAUAAAAUAAUCAGCUUAUAAGAAAUCCUUAGGAAAAGUAAAAUGUUGGUUUUGUCUCAAUCACUAGAGUGGACAUUUAGCUUAAUGGCACAGAUAAACAGCAAAAGCUGCUGGGGUGGAAAAUCGCCAGCUUCCAUGUUCUCAAGCCAGAACCUCGGGAAUUGGGCUUACCAAACCAAAACAGCCAUAAAGGAAGUCAACUCACAUGAGACAGAAGUCUUAAUCUCAUCUUGGAAAUACUCAGAAUUCUCAACUACCUUUAUUUGAAAAGUAAAAUGUUUCUUUGUAUGUCACGUGUGCACCCAUGUAUGGAGGCCAAUCUCAAGGUCCCUUUUGUAGAAGCUGGCCUUCUUGACCUUUUGAGACAGUAUCUCUCACUAGGUCCUGAGUCUGGUGCUCACCCAUUAGGCCAGGACAAUUGACCAUCAAGCCCCCAGGAACUCCCUGGGGUGCCUUCCCAGUGUGGGAUAACAGGACCAUAACUAGCUCUGUACAUGGGAUGAGACUCAGGCCUCUUGUUCAUGCUGUAGCUUUAACAACUGACCUAUCUCCCAAACAUAGACUUUCCAUUCUUUGCCACAUGAAGGAACUGAAAAGCUAAGGUUUUGUUGUUUUCUUUGUUGGGGGGGAAAAAACCCUCUGAUUAUGUUUCUAUUCUUUUGUUACUUAGAGUUUAAAUGAAUCCUAGUCCUUAGGCAAAUCUCAGACCAAUUAAGUCAAAAAUCUCUGGAGAGGAAUCCCAUCUUAGAUUUCUGUUGCUGAUGUAAAAUAGCAUGGAGGAAAGGUUUACUCCACAUAUACUUUCAGGUACCACUCCAUCUAUGUAGGGAAGCCAGCACAAAGACUCAAGCCGUGCAGGAUCUUGGAUACAGGAAUGAGAUACGAGGCCAUGGAGGGGUGCUGCUUACUGACCUGCUCGCAUGGAUGGCGCGCUCAGCCUGCUUUCUUAUCCCACUCAGGACACUGCCUGGGGUAGCACUACCCCACAGUGAGUGGAUCCAUUUCACAUGAAACGUUAAUCAAGAAAAUGUCCCACAGGGUGUUUACCAGAUAGCUCAUGAAGGCAUUUUCUUAGUCUCUCAACUAAGAAACCAGCACAGGUCAGUGUUAUUUAAAGCCCUCUGAGUGAUUUCUGUGUUCGUGCAGGGCAGUAGGGUUGGCAUAGACUCUAAAAGCAGUAGAAUUGGAAAGUCUUGAAUGGAAAAGGACCUUGAAUGAUCCUUUUUUAAAAAUCUCUGACUUUCAGAUUGUAAUGUGUGAAUUAUUACGAAGAGUGAGAUUCAUCAGAGGGAAUAUGACAUUAUAAAGCGGUCAACAGAGUCUGAUCUUACAUAAAAAUGUUGCUAACUAUAUACUGGUAUAGAAGCCUACUACAGUGGUACUUUAUAGUCUGUGGGAGUUUCCCAUUUGUUUUGGUUAGAAAAUAAGAAUUUAAUUAAAAGUGCAGUCCAAUUUUGAGAAAUUUGCAAUCUCCCAAAUUACAAUUUAGUACAUAUACUGAAAGCACCAUGCUGGGAGAAAAUUUUAUGGUAUUUGAGGACUGCUUAUUACUACCAGCAAUGCUGUGUCUAAGUCAUUAAUUGUACUUUCCCUUUUUUGCAUAAAGUACCAUGUUUUUGUAUUUUUUAAUUUUGAAUUUUUUUUCAUUUUUAUUAAACAUGGUCUUUGACAGUUUCAUACAUGUAUGUAAUACAUGGAAUGUAAUAUAUGGACAUAAUAUGUGUAUGUAAUAACUCUGGUCCCAUUUCCGUUCCAUCUCUUCCAAACCUCUCUUACCCUUUGCAUCCCAUCUGUCUGCCACCACUUUGUGCAUGAUCCACUGACUUAAACCAGGAACAUCCACAUGGGCAUGGGAUGGAACCUUCCACAGGUGCAUAGGGGACUCACCAGGGGCUGAUCACUAAAAGUGAUGAGUCUUCUUCCAGCAUCUAUCCAUACCCAACAGGUCCCCAUGAUCUCACAGCCCAUCACCUUGACAGAAUGUUGGCAGCCCUUGCAUCAAGUCUGCCCAGCAGCCUGCUGCUCUGAGUUCAUGGCUGCAUUCACCAUGUCAUGUGAUACCAUGAAGACAGCAGAAGAGAGGACAGAAAGAUCUAUGAUGAGACAGACAAUAGGGAGGAAGUCCGUGAAGUGCUGUCUGUGCUACAGAGCAUCAGACUGUCAAAAUCCACAGGACAGAACAAAGUGUGUUAAUGAAUGGCCACUAGGGGAUUC
rnacentral:lncRNA from 1 species